rnacentral:rRNA from 1 species
AUUGAACGCUGGCGGCAGGCCUAACACAUGCAAGUAGAACGCGGGGCGGCCGGGUGUGUAAUGUUUGGGAAACUGACUGAUGGCGGGGGAUAACUACUGGAAACGGUAGCUAAUCCCGCAUAACAUCGGAUGUGCCAUGAUGGGAUUGGCUCGGUGGUGGGGUAACGGCUCACCAAGGAUACGAUCCCCAGCUGGUCUGAGAGGAUGACCAGCCACACUGGAAGUGUGAGACGUUCCAUACUCCUACAGUAGGCAGCAGUGGGGAAUAUUGCACAAUGGGCGCAAGCCUGAUGCAGCCAUGCCGCGUGUGUGAAAAAGGCCGUCGGGUUGUAAAGUACUUUCAGCGGGGAGGCGUUACCCGCAGAAUAAGUACCGGCUAACUCCGUGCCAGCAGCCGCGGUAAUUC